GCGAGAGUAGCUCAGUUGAUAGAGCGGUUCCUUGCCAAGGAACAGGUCGCCGGUUUGAUCCCGGUCUCUCGCUCCA
rnacentral:tRNA from 1 species